GCAGUGGGAGCACCUUCGGGUGUGACUGCGUACCUUUUGUAUAAUGGGUCAGCGACUUAUAUUCUGUAGCAAGGUUAACCGUAUAGGGGAGCCGCAGGGAAACCGAGUCUUAACUGGGCGUUAAGUUGCAGGGUAUAGACCCGAAACCCGGUGAUCUAGCCAUGGGCAGGUUGAAGGUUGGGUAACACUAACUGGAGGACCGAACCGACUAAUGUUGAAAAAUUAGCGGAUGACUUGUGGCUGGGGGUGAAAGGCCAAUCAAACCGGGAGAUAGCUGGUUCUCCCCGAAAGCUAUUUAGGUAGCGCCUCGUGAAUUCAUCUUCGGGGGUAGAGCACUGUUUCGGCUAGGGGGUCAUCCCGACUUACCAACCCGAUGCAAACUACGAAUACCGAAGAAUGUUAUCACGGGAGACACACGGCGGGUGCUAACGUCCGUCGUGAAGAGGGAAACAACCCAGACCGCCAGCUAAGGUCCCAAAGUCAUGGUUAAGUGGGAAACGAUGUGGGAAGGCACAGACAGCCAGGAUGUUGGCUUAGAAGCAGCCAUCAUUUAAAGAAAGCGUAAUAGCUCACUGGUCGAGUCGGCCUGCGCGGAAGAUGUAACGGGGCUAAACCAUGCACCGAAGCUGCGGCAGCGACGCUUAGGCGUUGUUGGGUAGGGGAGCGUUCUGUAAGCCUGCGAAGGUGACCUGUGAGGGUUGCUGGAGGUAUCAGAAGUGCGAAUGCUGACAUAAGUAACGAUAAAGCGGGUGAAAAGCCCGCUCGCCGGAAGACCAAGGGUUCCUGUCCAACGUUAAUCGGGGCAGGGUGAGUCGACCCCUAAGGCGAGGCCGAAAGGCGUAGUCGAUGGGAAACAGGUUAAUAUUCCUGUACUUGGUGUUACUGCGAAGGGGGGACGGAGAAGGCUAUGUUAGCCGGGCGACGGUUGUCCCGGUUUAAGCAUGUAGGCUGGUUAUCCAGGCAAAUCCGGAUAAUCAAGGCUGAGGUGUGAUGACGAGGCACUACGGUGCUGAAGUAACAAAUGCCCUGCUUCCAGGAAAAGCCUCUAAGCAUCAGGUAACAUCAAAUCGUACCCCAAACCGACACAGGUGGUCAGGUAGAGAAUACCAAGGCGCUUGAGAGAACUCGGGUGAAGGAACUAGGCAAAAUGGUGCCGUAACUUCGGGAGAAGGCACGCUGGUGUGUAGGUGAAGUCCCUGCGGAUGGAGCUGAGACCAGUCGAAGAUACCAGCUGGCUGCAACUGUUUAUUAAAAACACAGCACUGUGCAAACACGAAAGUGGACGUAUACGGUGUGACGCCUGCCCGGUGCCGGAAGGUUAAUUGAUGGGGUUAUCCGUAAGGAGAAGCUCUUGAUCGAAGCCCCGGUAAACGGCGGCCGUAACUAUAACGGUCCUAAGGUAGCGAAAUUCCUUGUCGGGUAAGUUCCGACCUGCACGAAUGGCGUAAUGAUGGCCAGGCUGUCUCCACCCGAGACUCAGUGAAAUUGAACUCGCUGUGAAGAUGCAGUGUACCCGCGGCAAGACGGAAAGACCCCGUGAACCUUUACUAUAGCUUGACACUGAACAUUGAGCCUUGAUGUGUAGGAUAGGUGGGAGGCUUUGAAGCGUGGACGCCAGUCUGCGUGGAGCCAACCUUGAAAUACCACCCUUUAAUGUUUGAUGUUCUAACGUGGGCCCCUUAUCGGGGUUGCGGACAGUGUCUGGUGGGUAGUUUGACUGGGGCGGUCUCCUCCCAAAGCGUAACGGAGGAGCACGAAGGUUAGCUAAUCCUGGUCGGACAUCAGGAGGUUAGUGCAAUGGCAUAAGCUAGCUUGACUGCGAGCGUGACGGCGCGAGCAGGUGCGAAAGCAGGUCAUAGUGAUCCGGUGGUUCUGAAUGGAAGGGCCAUCGCUCAACGGAUAAAAGGUACUCCGGGGAUAACAGGCUGAUACCGCCCAAGAGUUCAUAUCGACGGCGGUGUUUGGCACCUCGAUGUCGGCUCAUCACAUCCUGGGGCUGAAGUAGGUCCCAAGGGUAUGGCUGUUCGCCAUUUAAAGUGGUACGCGAGCUGGGUUUAGAACGUCGUGAGACAGUUCGGUCCCUAUCUGCCGUGGGCGCUGGAGAAUUGAGGGGGGCUGCUCCUAGUACGAGAGGACCGGAGUGGACGCAUCACUGGUGUUCGGGUUGUCAUGCCAAUGGCACUGCCCGGUAGCUAAAUGCGGAAGAGAUAAGUGCUGAAAGCAUCUAAGCACGAAACUUGCCCCGAGAUGAGUUCUCCCUGAGACUUUAAGUCUCCUGAAGGAACGUUGAAGACGACGACGUUGAUAGGCCGGGUGUGUAAGCGCAGCGAUGCGUUGAGCUAACCGGUACUAAUGAACCGUGAGGCUUAACCUU
rnacentral:rRNA from 1 species